rnacentral:sRNA from 1 species
GACUAUUGUCUUCAACGUCUUCUUCUCCCGCAUUUUUCUUGGCAUCCCAACUUCCUG